UACGAAGGGGGGCUAGCGUUGUUCGGAAUUACUGGGCGUAAAGGGCGCGUAGGCGGUGUGUCAAGUCGGGUGUGAAAAUUUCGGAGCUUAACUCCGAAACUGCAUUCGAUACUGCGGUGCUUGAGGACUGGAGAGGAGACUGGAAUUCAUGGUGUAGCAGUGAAAAUGCGUAGAGAUCAUGAGGAAGACCAGUGGCGAAGGCGGGUCUCUGGACAGUUCCUGACACUGAGACACGAAGGCCAGGGGGAGCAAACGGG
rnacentral:rRNA from 1 species